CCUACGGGAGGCAGCAGUGGGGAAUAUUGGGCAAUGGGCGAGAGCCUGAACCAGCCAAGUCGCGUGAGGGAGUACUGCCCUAUGGGUUGUAAACCUCUUUGGUCGGGGAGCAAAAGCCGGACGUGUCCGGCUGGGAGCGUACCCGAAGACAACGCGUCGGCUAACCCCGUGCCAGCAGCGGCGGUAAUACGGAGGAUGAGAGCGUUAUCGGGAUUUAGCGGGUUAAAGGGGUGCGCAGGCGGAUUUUUAAGUCUGCGGUAAAAUCGUGGGGCUCAACCCCAUGCAGCCGUUGAAACUGGGGAUCUAGAGUGUGCGAGAGGAAUGCGGAAUGCGAGGUGUAGCGGUGAAAUGCAUAGAUAUCACGCAGAACCCCGGUUGCGAAGGCAGCACACCGGUGCACAACUGACGCUCAGGCACGAAAGCGUGGGUAUCGAACAGGAUUAGAUACCCCAGUAGUC
rnacentral:rRNA from 1 species